UACGGAGGGGGCCAGCGUUGUUCGGAAUUAUUGGGCGUAAAGGGCGCGUAGGCGGCCGAAUAAGUCUGAUGUGAAAUCUCACAGCUUAACUGUGAAACUGCAUUGGAUACUAUCCGGCUAGAGGAAUGGAGGGGAGACUGGAAUACUUGGUGUAGCAGUGAAAUGCGUAGAUAUCAAGUGGAACACCAGUGGCGAAGGCGAGUCUCUGGACAUUUCCUGACGCUGAGGCACGAAAGCCAGGGGAGCAAACGGG
rnacentral:rRNA from 1 species